AGAACGAACGCUGGCGGCGUGCCUAACACAUGCAAGUCGAGCGCGAAUAGGGGCAACCCUUAGUAGAGCGGCGCACGGGUGCGUAACACGUGGGUAAUCUGCCUGGAAGCCUGGGAUAACUAGCCGAAAGGUUAGCUAAUACCAGAUGAGACUACGGACUCUUCGGAGUCUGAGGGAAAAAGGUGGCCUCUGUAUACAAGCUAUCACUUCCAGAUGAGCCCGCGGCCCAUCAGCUAGUUGGCGGGGUAAUGGCCCACCAAGGCAACGACGGGUAGCUGGUCUGAGAGGACGAUCAGCCACACUGGAACUGAGACACGGUCCAGACUCCUACGGGAGGCAGCAGUGGGGAAUUUUGCGCAAUGGGCGAAAGCCUGACGCAGCAACGCCGCGUGUGUGAUGAAGGUCUUCGGAUUGUAAAGCACUUUCGACCGGACGAAACCUUCAGCCCAAUACGCUGAAGCUUGACGGUACCGGAGAAGAAGCACGG
rnacentral:rRNA from 1 species